GGGGAGGAGCAGUGCGUGCGCCCGGUGAACCCCGCGCGCCGCCUCCUUUCCGGUCCUAGUGCGGUGACCGGCCCCACUGGGCCAACAGGGGCGUGGAUGGGAGGAAGGCCUGGCCCUUCGGAGCCUCUCAGUGGGAUAUGAAGAGACGCAAGAAUCUGGGCUCAUAAAGUCUUCUCCCAAAACUGCCUAUCUGAAGGCCUGUGCUGCCAGUUUUCUCAGAGCACAGAGCGCUUCGUUCCUAUCUCCACCCUGAACUCCUUUCAGGGAGUGUUGGAAGAAGUAAGCAACAUGAAUAUACUAUGAAGUGAGAAAUAAAAUUGAGUCACUUAUGUCAAGGGGCUUUAAAAUGGAGCUGGAAAGCCAUUAGAGAGAUGGACCUUAUGCACUUCCUCACCAGGUGGAACCACUAACUUUUGAACUGGGCCAAACCGCAAAUAUGUCAAGGACUUUGCAAAAACACCUGCAACUUGCCACAGUAACGGACUUUCCCCUCCCUCUAGUGAUGGCCUUGGCGAUCAAUCACGUUCAGCCAAGACUAGCUCCUGCCUCCAGCUCCAGUUAUAAUCCUCUGUACGGCAGCCCUGCCUCCUGCCUUUCCAGCCCCUGGCCUCUCUUACUCCCUAGUGGGAUGCUGGGUUGCCACCCAAAUCUGUGUGCCCCAAAUUGCAAAUCCUUUGAUCCCCAGUAAACUCUUUUGGUUUGAUUGUU